GCUGAAUAAAGCCGUGUCUCAUCUACCUGCUGUCUCCCAAGUGUUCUUCCAGCUCCCUGCCCCUCAUCAACCCACUCUCCUCAGACCUCAGCUGGGGCUUGAACCUGAUAAUUGGUGUAGUCAUCAGGAUGAGCUGUACCCUUCAUCACGAAUUUGAUGGACUGCUUGACAAUGGAACUGGAAGAGUACCACUUUGUGGUGGACUUAGCUAAUGCAGUCUUCUCCAUUGACAUUGCUCCAGAGAGCCAGGAGAAGUUUGUCUUCACGUGGGAAGGAUGACAAUGGACUUUCACCAUGCUGCCACAGGGCUGUGUGCAUAGCCCCACCAUUUGUCCUGGUCUUGUUGCCAUGGAUUUAGCUGCCUGGAAAUGCCCAAAAGGGGUCUGCCUGUUUCAUUACAUUGAUGAUAUGUUAACCUCUGAUUCUCUCACAGAUUUAGAAGUGGUGGUGCCCCUCUUGUGACAGCAUUUGGCAGUGUGCAGUUGGGCCAUCAAUAAAUCCAAGGUCCAAGGGCCGGAAUUGUCUGCCAAAUUCUUGGGAGUUAUUUGCUCAGCCACAGGUUGGCAUGCUCCAACAACAUUGUGGACUGGGCUCACACCUAUGCUGAGGUGGCCAAUGUCUCCAACUGUUAGAUCUGCACCACCCUUCCAGCAGCAGCUGUGGAUGGCUUGCCUUGGCAUGUGCAUCCAGCUUUUGUGAAGAACUGGACAUGGCUAGAAACUUGGGGUCCCACAGACAAUGGGCGGGAUGCAACAUGGUGAGCUUUGGAUGGGGGUGUCACAAAACCCAUGGCAAGCCUGCCCCCUGGCUGACUCAUAGCAUCCAUGAUGAAUGGGGCUGGCUAAUGGGAGAAAACAUGGUGGCCCCAUUGCAAGUACCACGAUGUAUAGAGCAACACUGGGGUAAGGUCACUGUGGGAUGGUUGCCUGCUGAGACCUGUGCAAACGUAACACAUGCCACCAUGCCAAGGAUGUGGUGGAACAAGCAGCCCUACCAAGGCUGGGCCCCCAUGGACUUUGUGCCUGCUGGGAGUUUAUAGGUCUGUGGGGACAUAGGAUGGCCAUAUCUGCCAGCCAACUAGACUGGACAUUGUACCUGGGAGUGGCCUUCUGUGCCUGCCACUGUGCUUCCCACAUUGCUUAGUCACACACAUAACUGGGAGGUGCUGUGUUCCCAGUUUUUGUGAGUGCAUUGAGCCCCUAGUGGUUCUACCCCUUAGCAAUAACUGUCCCUGGAACAGGUGUCAUCACUGUAGAAAUGCAGGUUACAGCCCUUGCAGAACACAGAGAUUGGGCCCAUGAAUUACACCUGAGCUGCCCUCCUUUUGUUAAUUGAUGAGUUUGAUCAGAUCAGGAAGGUGGUGAUGCAAAACCGGAUGGCCUUAGACAUAGUCACAGCUGCUCAAGGUGGCACCUGUGCCCUUGUAGGGACAGAGUGUUGUACAUUCAUCCCUGACAACCACCAGAACAUAGUGGCAGCUUUGCAGGGGGUGUCAUGUCAUAGGAGAUUAAGGCAAUUGAAUACCUUACUGAUGACCGCCUGCAGAGAUGGUGGGUGUCUCUGGGCUCUGGCCUACACUGGGCUCUUAUAAUCAUAGGUAGCAUAGCAGGAAUAUUAGUAGUAGGUUGUUGCUCUCUUUAUUGUUGCUGUGGCCUCUGGGUCCAGGGUGCUCCCCUAUGUGCACGAGUUCCCAUUAAGAGGACCCCCUUGGCCUAGGGGGCGGAGUGUAAGGAACAUGGCUGUGUUGCUGCCAGGCAGGCAUAGGCCGAGGUAAAAAUCCUGCAUGACACAGUGGGAUUAGAGCACACGCGCGCAAUCCUGUGCCUGAUAUAAUCACAGCUAGGUAGACAUAACACAGAGAAGCUCAUCAUUUGGCUCUCAGCCACUAUCAUUUGUGAGGUGUACAAAUGUAACACUGACACUGUGAAAGAGCUGCUGAAUAAAGCCAUGUCUCAUCUA